rnacentral:rRNA from 1 species
UUAAAUUGAGAGUUUGAUCCUGGCUCAGGACGAACGCUGGCGGCGUGCCUAACACAUGCAAGUCGAGCGAUGAAACUUCCUUCGGGAAGUGGAUUAGCGGCGGACGGGUGAGUAACACGUGGGUAACCUGCCUCAAAGAGGGGGAUAGCCUCCCGAAAGGGAGAUUAAUACCGCAUAACAUUAUUUUAUGGCAUCAUAAAAUAAUCAAAGGAGCAAUCCGCUUUGAGAUGGACCCGCGGCGCAUUAGCUAGUUGGUGAGGUAACGGCUCACCAAGGCAACGAUGCGUAGCCGACCUGAGAGGGUGAUCGGCCACAUUGGAACUGAGACACGGUCCAGACUCCUACGGGAGGCAGCAGUGGGGAAUAUUGCGCAAU